UGUUUAUCUAUAUAUGUAUAUGUUAUAAAAUAUAGUAUCGUUGAGUUAGUAUCUCGUAAUACAAGUCUCGAACUUACUUUGGGGCUAGCUCAAUCUGUGUGAUUUGUCCUUACAUUAAUUUAUUUAUAAUAAUGAUGUUCACAGAUUCAUAGAGAAGCUCCAAGAAGUGUUGGACGGUAACCGUGCAGUGACCAUAGUGUUGGACGACCCCGCUGGUAACUCGUAUGUUCAGAGCUUGGCCGACGACCCGACCACACCAGACGAAGGUGUUAAGAUAACGAGAUACGAGCGCUCACACGAACAGAACGAGGAGCUAGGACUCAAUGAUAUGAAGACUGAAGGAUACGAGGAAAGCUAGCGGGCGUCAUUACGUUUUAAUGUAUUUUAACCCAAGCAGAGAAUAAAUAUAUUUGUUUAUU